GACGAACGCUGGCGGCGUGCUUAACACAUGCAAGUCGAGCGGUAAGGCCCUUUCGGGGGUACGACGAGCGGCGAACGGGUGAGUAACACGUGGGUGACCUGCCCUCAGCUCUGGGAUAAGCCUCGGGAAACCGGGUCUAAUACCGGAUAUGACUCCAUGACGCAUGUUGUGGGGUGGAAAGCCUUGUGCGGCUGAGGAUGGGCCCGCGGCCUAUCAGCUUGUUGGUGGGGUGAUGGCCUACCAAGGCGACGACGGGUAGCCGGCCUGAGAGGGCGACCGGCCACACUGGGACUGAGACACGGCCCAGACUCCUACGGGAGGCAGCAGUGGGGAAUCUUGCGCAAUGGGCGAAAGCCUGACGCAGCGACGCCGCGUGAGGGAUGACGGCCUGGUGUAA
rnacentral:rRNA from 1 species